rnacentral:tRNA from 1 species
GGUAGAGCGCAACCUUGCCAAGGUUGAGGUCGCCGGUUCGAAUCCGGUCAUCCGCUCAA